rnacentral:rRNA from 1 species
GCAGUGUACCCGCGGCAAGACGGAAAGACCCCGUGAACCUUUACUAUAGCUUGACACUGAACAUUGAGCCUUGAUGUGUAGGAUAGGUGGGAGGCUUUGAAGCGUGGACGCCAGUCUGCGUGGAGCCGACCUUGAAAUACCACCCUUUAAUGUUUGAUGUUCUAACGUUGGCCCCUUACCGGGGUUGCGGACAGUGUCUGGUGGGUAGUUUGACUGGGGCGGUCUCCUCCCAAAGCGUAACGGAGGAGCACGACU